rnacentral:rRNA from 1 species
AGUGAACGCUGGCGGCGUGCCUAAUACAUGCAAGUCGAACGGAAUUUAAGAGAGCUUGCUCUUUUAAAUUUAGUGGCGCACGGGUGAGUAAUAUAUAGCUAAUCUGCCCCUUGCCGGAGGACAACAGUUAGAAAUGACUGCUAAUACUCCAUACUCCUUUUUACCAUAAGAUAAAUCGGGAAAGAAUUUCGGCAAGGGAUGAGACUAUAUCGUAUCAGCUAGUCGGUGGGGUAACGGCCUACCGAGGCUAUGACGCGUAACUGGUCUGAGAGGAUGAUCAGUCACAUUGGAACUGAGACACGGUCCAAACUCCUACGGGAGGCAGCAGUAGGGAAUAUUGCGCAAUGGGGGAAACCCUGACGCAGCAACGCCGCGUGGAGGAUGACACUUUUCGGAGCGUAAACUCCUUUUGUUAGGGAAGAAUAAUGACGGACCUAACGAAU